rnacentral:lncRNA from 10 species
CGCACCAACACACACACCAGCACCAACACACAUUCGCCCCCUUCCCCGCAGGGCUGCCCCCGACGCCGCCCGCCGCACCCCCGCCGUUUGACAAGUAUGCGCCCAAGCUGGACAGCCCCUACUUCCGACAUUCCAGCACUUCAAGCCCCAUUGAGGUGGCCCGCCGGGCUGGUGCGGUUCACACACUCCUGCAGAAAGCGCCUGGGGU